UACGGGGGGGGCAAGCGUUGUUCGGAAUUACUGGGCGUAAAGGGCGCGUAGGCGGCCUUCUAAGUCGAACGUGAAAUCCCCGGGCUCAACCCGGGAACUGCGUCCGAUACUGGGAGGCUUGAAUCCGGGAGAGGGAUGUGGAAUUCCAGGUGUAGCGGUGAAAUGCGUAGAUAUCUGGAGGAACACCGGUGGCGAAGGCGGCAUCCUGGACCGGUAUUGACGCUGAGACGCGAAAGCGUGGGGAGCGAACAGG
rnacentral:rRNA from 1 species